CUCAAAAUAAAUAAAACAAUAAACAUUAAAAAAAUACAUUUUUGUUGUUUUAAGUCAGGGAGACUUAAAAAACCUUUAUCAUGGAAAUUUUCAAACCUAUAAAAGCAGAAACAAUAGUGUAUCCAACCCACUGUACCCAUUCUUUAACUGCCACGAUUAUCAAGACAUAAGCCUCGGUGUUUGGGGGCUAGUUUGCUACUUAGCACAACCUAGACUAGGGGAAAAAACUGGGGGAGGAGCCUGAUUUUAUACAAAUACUAAAUGAAUGACAGAUAAGUAAAGGGCAUGGAAACAAAAUUUAUGAGACUUGAUUUUAUUUUUAAAAGUUUAUUUUUGAGUGAGAGAGAGAGAGGGAGCACGAGCAGGGUAGGGGCAGAGAGAGAGGGAGACAGAAUCCGAAGCAGGCUCCAGGCUCCGAGCUGUCAGCACAGAACCGAAGAGGGGCUCGAACUCACAAACCGUGAGAUCCUGACCUAAACUGAAGUCAGAUGCUUAACUGAGCCACCCAGGGGCCCUGAGACUUGAUUUUUAUGCCAUAUUUUUCUUAAGGUUUUUAAAUGCUUUUUAGGAAUCCAGGAGAGCUGAACGUCUGGAUGAAUUCGCUGAAGGAAAAGUCGCUGGGCACCCAGAAGGGAACUCAGCCUAAAUCCGCCUCCUUUGACUCCGCCUCCAGCUCUUCUGGCGCUGGCGCUCAUCAGCUCACUGGCUACACAAGGGUUUUCAUGUGGCGAGAUGCAUGCCCCGUGGCCUUGUGCACCAGCCUGCCUCAGCAUUCUCUGCUUGGCUUCCUGCAUCUUGUGCCGCGCGCCGCUGCUGCUGACAUCGGCAGAGAGUUCCAGAAGGUUGGGUCUGUGGAGCAUUCAGUGCUGUGCUCGCCACAGAGCCAGUUUUAGGGACUACCAGCUGCUGCCUGAAGAUUGCCUGGCAGGCCUGACCCCUUGGCAAAGCAAAGCGUCCAGUGAGGUCUUUGCAAAAAGUCUCUCCAAGGAGCUGAGGAGCUGGGCAUCAGUACAGCAGAAAAAUGCAAACCAAUCAAGUCACAGAUUUUUCAGGCAUGCCAACCUUCUGGUCCUAGGCAUGAAGCAUUCCAAAAAGCCUAGGAAAAUUCAUAUGUUUUCCUAA
rnacentral:lncRNA from 1 species